GCAGUGAUGUGGCCCUUCCGGGGCGAGGUCUCGUGCGCGGCAUAAUACGGCCAAAUUGCCUCAUAAAUACUUUGCAUGCGGUGAUUGUGCCGGAGAAUUGCUUCGACCGAUGAAUGCAUGUCUUUCAAGGCAGAGUUUGUUUAGCCUGGAGGGACGGUCGAUAAGGCGGCGGACUCGCGCAUGAUUGUACCUGUUGCCCGUGGUCCACGGGGAUGCUGAGCGGAUACCGACCUCAUUAUCGCAACAUACACAGCGAUUAGGAUAAUUAGUGCGGGCUGUGAUGUGGGACAAGACACGCUAACAAAUCGCACGAGAAACUAGCAAUUCACACACCACAUACACUGCUCAGAGCGUCUUUCCGCCAUCAGUGGAAAACCAGAACAUGCAUCAAAGAGCCUUUUUAGGCGGCGGUUGGGCUCGAGGCGGUGCAUCUGAAGUAGUCCGGAGGGCACAUCCUGCAUCCGGAGCACAAUGGAACGUUCAAGUGGUCAGAGGUAAAGUGAACGGGAAAUGUCUGUGGAAUGCUUGCAAGGCUUUGAGUCUUGGCUUACUUUUAAUGGUUUUAGGAGCAGCGAUGGCCACCAUAGGUUAUUAUGCAGACCAUCUUUCUAUUGCUCAAGAAGUAAGAGGAAAUCACACAGUGCGAGUUAAAAACGAAUCGAGAGGUUUUCAUUUAAAUAACCUCUCUUAUGCGGGGCCUAUAAUCAUGGGAGUGGGAGGAUUUAUCGUAGUCGCUGCCUGCGUAAUGACAUUCGAGGCACGAGAUUCUGCAGCAAAAGUAGUUCCUGCACGCCUCAAACUGAGCACAAAUGGACCACCAAGUGGUUCCUACAGCGGUUACGCAGGCCACACUCACGGUGGCUACAGCGGCCACGGUUCCCUUCGAACCUCCGGCUCACAAACUGGAAGUGUUCAUCAACAGGCCUCCCACAGCCAUGCAAGAAGCGGCGCCACUGACAGACGCGCCCUUACUGAAUCAUUCUUAAAUUUUUCUAGAGGCCUUUCCCUAAAAAGCCAGCGCACCAGCUCGCUCAAAAUUCCACAGGGUUCUAUAAACAAAAGUCCUUCGGCUCCCAACCUAGUCCUGGAGCAUCCUGUAGAUAGCCACACUCGCUCUUCGCCCGUCUUCAGUCGCUACGGGACUGAAAAAGCGAAUUCGAAGAGUUCUCGGCGAACAUUCGCCAACUGUGCUUUGUUAAACCCGAGUCUUUUGCACAGACAUGCUUUAUCGGUGGACGAAACCGCUGCAAAUUAUAGAUUAAGUCACGAGUCCCUCCAAGGAAGCGGUAGUCAAGGCUCCCUAGCACUGGACCUCCACCUAGAGUGUCCUGUCACAUUGCGAAUUCGCGACAAACGCAGAAACCCUCUGAUCAGGCAAAGACGGGUUGAUGAAGACGAGCGCCAGGGUUAUGACGAUAGCUCCCGGAGGAGCUCGCAUUCGUGUUCCCCCAGGAUUCCGAUGCACAUCAAAGAUAUGAAAAGUGGUGGGAGCGGUGGUUCGACUCAUCAGCUGCCGGUUUAUGUGCCGUACACCAUUUCCCGGAGACGGAGCUCCAACGCGUCGGAUUCCACACAUCGAUCCAGGGCCAAGAGACGGGAAUAUCCCCAUUCGCGCGGAAAAUUAGAAAGAGCAAUAAGUUCAGAUUCAAGACUGAUGGGCGCCAUCCCGAGAACUCAUCGGCAUUACUCUCCGACUCAAGAUGUAGGAGAUACCGUAAAAGAAAAAAUUAGCACUGAAAUGGAGCACGUGAAGGAAGCAAUGCAGUCAGCCAUGAAUACGGCCGAAAACAGCAUAGGCUCAGUGAUGGGCAAAAUGGGCAACAGCAUAAAUUCAGCAAGUGAGGAAGUAAAAGACACUGUAAACAACAUGGAAGACGAGGCUGAGGAAGCACUACAUGUUGCCUCGGAUUCGGCAGCGGAAGCGGUUUCUGAAGCUGAAACCGUCCUAGCGUCAGAAGCCGAAAACGCGAAAGAAAUGUUAACGUCAACGGCAAACGAUGCGUUUGAUAAAUUUGAUUCCGGUGAGAAAGCGAUAGAGAAAAAAUUGCACGAAAUGCAGGAGAAAGUCGAAGACGGGUUGGAGAUUGAAGACAUGGAGCAGCAUUACGAUAUGUUAGGAGAAGGUGUAAAAAAUGUAGAAAAGAAAGUUGAGGAAAUUGUAGCAAAGUUACCCACUCCUGCAGCUUCGCCGACCAAGGAACCGCAGAAGGAGGAGUAAGUGGUCUGAUGUGAGUGUUAACCAAAAUCGUGCUGGAUUUGCUCUGUACAAAGUGAUGAUUGGUCUUGGAGUGAAUAGCACGAGCAUUAUACAAAGAUAUUGUAAAUAGAGAUAGCUUUUUGGACCCCUAGCUGAUGAUAAAUUUUCUAUUUUACUUUACAUACAAUUUGGAAAAUAAAUCUUAUUAAAGACAGGAUGCAUCUCUUUUAUUUUUCCAUUAUCAUUGCUUCGCAACAAUUGUGCCAAAGCUCGACUAUAAAUAGGCCCGAUUCUAGGUACGAUAUUAGUUGAUUUGCAAAUUUAUUCAACGCAUACAGACAGGUGGUAAAUUGACUUUCUGUUAUGGAAAUACUGACAGUAAAUCGCAACGUAAAAAACUAAACCACCGCCAACAUGUUGGGAGGCAGCAGCCGAUGCUAUAAUACAACAAAAAUCCUUUAGUUCAUCUAUGGAAAUUUAUCAGAUUGACGAUGAAACAGAAAAUUCAACGGAUACCGUAAAACCUUCAAUAAUGGACACUUCCGAAUAACAACACCACUUCACAAUGGACAUUUUUCUGGGAACGAACAGACGCAUGAAACAAAAAAUCUCUGUAUAGCGGACGAGUACAAAAAAAUCUCCAGUUACUAUAAUAUCAUGUAAAUUUAUCUCCUACAACGGACAGACCAAAAGAGUGGUGCAAAGAACGAAA